rnacentral:rRNA from 1 species
CGCAAUGGGCGAAAGCCUGACGGAGCAACGCCGCGUGAGUGAUGACGGCCUUCGGGUUGUAAAGCUCUGUGAUCGGGGACGAACGGGCCAUAAGCUAAUACCUUAUGGAAGUGACGGUACCCGAAUAGCAAGCCACGGCUAACUACGUGCCAGCAG